UAAGGAUAUUUUUACCUGCGACAACGGCCACAACGAAGAACGCGACACUGCCAUGACAUCAACAAUAACAAUAGUCAGAACAACAACAACAACAACAACAACCACGACAACGACGACGACGAUGACAACGGCGACGACAAAAACGACGACAAUGACAACGACAACAACAGCAACAAUAAUAUUAAUAAUAACUAGUCGAUAAGGCCCGUGGAGAAAUCCACUUAGGCAGAUGGGCAAUGGAAAAAUAGGCUGUUUUAGAUGUUUUGCUGACGUCAGCAGUGAAGAUCCCAAAAAAGUUAGAGAAAUCUUAUAUAUUAAUUCCCUUGCGUGACUAAAACUGUGAGUCCACGACACGGAAAUCACGGGUUACUUUCUUAUGACGUGGCUGUACGCUAAAAUUUAACUAAAAAGAUUAGGGAUGUACUUCAUAGAAAUCGCACAUAAGGUGUAAAUAUAUACCCGCUGCUAAUAACGAUAUAAAUAUAUAUACCCUUAUGCCAAAAAACUCUAUGUUAGCAUAUAUAUAUAGGUAUCGCUACAUAUGAAACGGUAUUAGAUAUUCACAAAGCAUACGGACUGUUAAAUGAAGUUCCUAGCAUAAAACGGAAAUUGUGUUUACGAAAAAGAUGGCUGUUCUUUUUGAGUAUUCUCUACUCUUUCAUUCAAAAUAAAUCUUUAAAAAAACAUUUAAAGAAGAGCAUGGUUUUAUAAAUUAAUCAUAGCAAGGUUCUGUAAGGUUUUUUCAUGUUUUAUUUUCAGUUUUGAUUAUAUUAUUGUUGCCGGACAUGUUUUAUAGCUAGCAUCAUAAAAAGCCAACCACCACCAACAACUAGCUAGCUAGCUAGGAAUAUAUAUAUAUAUAUAUAUGUAGCCAUGUUCUUUAUACCUAGCUAAGUCUCCAGUUUAUAUUUAAGUGACUAGCUAUUAGCUGCUGUAGCUAGCUAAUGCUAGCUUUAAACUAAAGAUUCCCAGUAUAUAUAUUCCCACAAAACACAUCAAACGUUAUUAACCCUGAAAAUUUUAAACAUUUUCCUGGGUUUUUUUUGGUUUGCGAAGUUCUUUUCCUCCAAAUAUUCUGAAAAUAAAGUUCAGAAAUUACUUAUUUUUAAAAUGUAAAUUUAAUUUGUUUCAAAUUGUGGGCAAAAACCUUAAUCAGCAUGCUAAAAGAACUGACUUUUCUUAAUUUAGAAUUAUAUACUAAACACAACCAUUUUCUUACAUUUAGUGUAAACUUUUGUGCGUAUGGCUUAUAUUUAAUACACCAAAAGAGCUACUUUGUUGAUUUCAAUUUUAUACUCUUUGUAAGCUAUUUUUUUCUUUUUAAACCUGAUCUUAGUUGUUUUUAAUUUACAGGCUGUGUCUGUGAAACUUUAAGGGGAACAUUUGGUGGAAGACAAUGGCAUGACAUAUACUGAUAGAACUGAUUUUUGUUGUGUUAGAUGUUAUAUUUGAACCUUUUUGACAUUUUAUGUUAAUUUUGCGAGGAAGGACCAUAUAUAUAUACACAGAAGAAGAAUUCAAUUUUACACCUUGCAAGCUUUGUUUUUCUAUAUUUUGUAUAAAUUCUUACUGGGGAGGACUCCGUGCAAUAUAUCGAAAUGACUGAUCCUUCUCGAUUUAAAUUUGAUGUGUUCUAAAUCGUAUAUAGUUUUGGAAAUUUUGUGUAAGAUUUAAUGGGUAAGGGCUAGAUGCAAUAUGUCAAAAAAACUUUUUUUGUUGAAUCAGAAGCACUCCCUACAACUAUUCUUUUUUUUACAGUUUGUGAAGCUUUUGUGAGGAAAGAGUGUAUGCAAUAUUAUCGAAAUAACUAAUAAUAGUUUUGUUGCAAACUGUUUUUCUUUGGCAUUUUGGAUUAAAAUAUUGUUUUAGAGGGCAUAUGCAGUAGAUAUAUGUACUGAAAUAGUUAAAUUUUGCAAACUUUGAUUUUGUCGUUACCUCUCAUUUUUUACAUUUUGAUUAAACUUUUGUGGGAGACCGUCGGUAUGCGAAGGACCAAAAUAAGAGAUUUUAGUAUUAUUUAGAAUUUGUGUUUUGUGUUGCAAAAUUGGUGCAAAAAUUGACAUAAAAUGAACUUAUAUACAGAUUGAUUGCUGUUGUUUAACAUGACUCAUUAUGACUUAUAUAUAUAUAUUAUGAAAAUUUGUGACAGAAUACUAUGUGAGAUUUGAAAUUUUGUUUACUUUAUUGAUGGUAAAACAGCAUGCAAGUUGCUAAAAGGACUUCAUUAAUUUUAGAUUUAAACACCGUUAUUUUGUUGGCAUUUUGUCUAAAGUUUAGUGAGGAAGGACCGUAUGCAAUAUAUCAAAUAAUGUUUUAUAGCAUUUUAAUUUAUCCUUGCAAAUCCCUUUUUAACACCUUAGAUAAAAAUUUCAACUUAGGCAAAAUUUAUUGUUUAUUUUUCACAUUGUGUGUCAACCUUUGGCAGGGUUUGCAAUAAACUAACUGAUUUUAACAUAUACAAUGAGAGAGAUUUGUGUUUGACAUUGAUCAGCUUUUUUGUAUAUAUGUGGCGUUUAAAGUGAUUAAAUUUUAUGGGUGAGAUGUAUGUUGAAAUGCUUUUGGAAACUUCUUUCCGAAUAAUUUUCGCAUUUGUCAGAUGGUCAGAGCAAGUAAUUUUAGUAGAUUUAGAUUUUAAAUGUCACAUAAAUACUGCAGUUGUUGAAAACCCUUAAUUUUUUUGGUCAUUUAUAUAAUAAUGCAGAUGUAAGAUGCACACUGCUGUAUUGUUUGUUUUUUGAUGGACAUAUAUCUGCUACAUAAAUUAAAUGGAAUACAGUGGAUUCUUCCACGGGAAACAGCUAGUUUAUUUUAUUCAUUUAAUAAAUAAUUUUGAUCAGCGUUCAACCUCUACACAUUACAAUAAAUGAUUUAUUGUAAUGUGUAGAGGUUGAAGCGCUGAUCAAAAUAAUGUAUAGGAUGAUAUGUUUCCGAGGAACGCAAAAGGAGAUAUACGGGUUUAAAAAUUGUGCUGACGUCAGCAAAGGCCCGUGAAAACACAAAAAAAAUUUUUCAGAAAUUCAUGUACCUGUUGCCUCCUUCGUAUAGAUCUUGAAACGCUGAUCAAGAAAAUGUAUAAGAUCAUGUACUUUUGACAAACGGUUGCAGAGAUUGAAGGUUUUUUAAUGACGUCACCAACCCGUGCAUUCCGAAACGGAUUCGGGGACCUCGGUUUGGAUCUUAAUUAACUUUCCUUUGACGUCAAUUACGGAGUUUCAUACCGCGCAGGUCUGGGCGCUGGCAAAGCGCUUUGUAGGGACAAAUUUUUGGCUUGUUUUCAUUUCUCUCGAUAGCCCAAAUAAUUUUCAUGGUCAGUUUUUCACAACUAUUCUGGUUAGUGCUGCGAAAAGAGGCAGAAAUGCAAAAUCCAGCCUGAUGUUUCUUCAACUAAUUUUUUACUUUAACUGACGUUUUGCUUUUUAAUAACACGUUUAAAUGUUGCUAACCCUCUUUGUGGUAUAUUGACAUGGGUAAGAUGUUGGAAUCGAAGAAAACUUAAAUUACUGACUUUUAUAGAGAAACAAGAGAAGAUAUAUUGUUGAUGUUGGUUUUAGGGGUUAGCUUACUGAAGUUGCAAGCUACAUAUACCAUACAUUUUGUGUUGUGAGGAAUAAAGUAAUGGUUAAAAAGAAACACUAUUCUAUCAUUAUCAGUGCACUUUGGCAAGAAGAAAUAAAAAUUACAGCUAGCUAUAGAAAGAUUUAUAUAAAGGAAGUUUUUUUACAGUAAGCUAUAGCUAUCAAGCUAGCUAUACAUGGAUCUGCAAGUUUGACAUGGAUUAAUGUGGAAGAGCAUUUAAUAAAGGAUUUAUUUGCAAGCAAAUUUUAAUCAUAAGCCGGAACCACAUUAUUGUAACUAAUGCAAGACUAGACUGCUUCUUAUGAAGUUAUCAGGGGACAUUGAUAUAUCCCUUACGUGAAUUGUACAGCGAUCAAGUCAACAUUUCUGUCGAAGAGAACAAAAAAACGACUAGUUGCACUUCUUAGGAAUACUGUAUACCAUCUUGGACACAUCUUCCAAACAGUCACUGCCAUAAAUGUAACACGUUGUAGAACAAAGCGAAACAAGAGAUGUUACACAACAAAUGUUGUAGAGAUAGAUUUUUUGCUCUCUACAAUAGUUGCAUAUCAAUAACAUAACAACAGACUUUUAUACAAAAUCCCGACGCUUAUCUUUUUUUAUAUCGACAUUUGGGAAAUAAACUGAAAUGUAUAAUUGUGUGUCUAUUAUGAAGAAAAUAAAAAAGAGAGUUUGACAUGCUGAA